rnacentral:rRNA from 1 species
AGCCCCGGCUAACUACGUGCCAGCAGCCGCGGUAAUACGUAGGGGGCGAGCGUUACCCGGAAUCACUGGGCGUAAAGGGAGCGUAGGUGGCCUAACAUGUCAACUGUGAAAACCCGGAGCUCAACUCCGGACUUGCAGUUGAAACUGGUAGGCUUGAGGACGGUAGAGGAAGACGGAACUGCCAGUGUAGGGGUAAAAUCCUUAGAUAUUGGCAGGAACGCCGGUGACGAAGGUGGUUUUCUGGGCCGGUUCUGACACUGAUGCUCGAAAGCCAGGGGAGCGAACGGGAUUAGAUACCCCGGUAGUCCUGGCCCUAAACGAUGUUCACUAGGUGUGGGGAGCGGAAAGCCCUCCGUGCUAAAGCUAACGCGAUAAGUGAACCGCCUGGGGAGUACGCCCGCAAGGGUGAAACUCAAAGGAAUUGACGGGGGCCCGCACAAGCGGUGGAGCGUGUGGUUUAAUUCGAUGCUAAGCGAAGGACCUUACCAAGGUUUGACAUGCUAAUGGUAGUGAAUUGAAAGAGGAACGACCACACUAUGUGUGGAGUUAGCACAGGUGGUGCACGGCCGUCGUCAGCUCGUGUCGUGAGGUGUUGGGUUAAGUCCCGCAACGAGCGCAACCCCUGCUCUUAGUUACCAGCGGUAAGGCCGGGUACUCUAGGAGGACCGCCGCCGACGAGGCGGAGGAAGGGGGGGAUGAAGUCAGGUAUCGUGCCCCUUAUAUCUUGGGCGACACACGCGCUACAAUGGGUUGGACAGAAGGGACCAAGACAGCGAUGUGGAGGAAAUCCUCAAACCAACCCCCAGUUCAGAUUGCAGGCUGCAACCCGCCUGCAUGAAGCCGGAAUCGCUAGUAAUCGCAGAUCAGCCAAGCUGCGGUGAAUACGUUCCCGGGUCUUGUACACACCGCCCGUCAAGCCACCCGAGUUGGUAACACCUGAAGAUGAGUAUCCUAACCGAAAGGAGGGAGCUUGUUUAGGGUGGGAUUGGCAAGGGGGGCUAAGUCGUAACAAGGUAGCCCUACCGGAAGGUGGGGCUG